CUAAUUUUAGAAUCGAUGAUAAAUUGAAGGACCUCAAGUGAACUAACUCCGAGGAUAAAUCCACAUAGAAAAAGUACACCCAAGGUCCCUCAACUUGUUAUCGGGAUAAAAAACG
rnacentral:misc_RNA from 1 species